UCGAAUAAAGUAGUUUGUAUUAGUAGAUACUUCGGCUAAAUUCUUCGAUAUUUUAGAACCUUGAGUUCAUAUUGUUACAAAAACUAUUCAAAAAAAGUACUCCACUAAAUCAUUUGAAAGGAUGAAACCGUGCGAACUCAAGAAGAACGUCUUUAUGAUUUUAACACGUAGUCCUCUAAUCGAAAAUCACAAACUUGAUCGUUGCGCAUCAGUCCAUGUUUGCAUGAACAUGUAAAUGUGUCUGUUGUUUUGGAACAACUUCUAAAGCAGAUGCCAUUUAAUCAAGACCGUGUGGCUUGUUAUUGCUGUUGUUGUUUGUGUGUGGCUGUUGUGUGGGGCCGGAUCCAAUAUACAUAUUCGACAUGACGCAUACUGGCGCCUAUAUGUCGUCUCAAAUAAGAUCUAUGAAGAGGAACUCAGGGCAGUUUGAGAGAAACCAUCUGAAAGAAACUCGUCCCCGAGCCUCGUGUAAGCGGAUCGUGCUUGUACUAUUCUACAUUAUUACCAACGUGACAACGUUCUAGAUGAAGAAGCUCUAGAUGAAGUUCGCCAAAAGCUAAGUUAAUGCGCAUUGCAAACACUGAAUCCAAUCACACUCUGCUCAGACUCCUCGUACUGACUACAGGAAGGCAGAAGAGAAUCCAUAUUGAGUCCAAUAGAGGAUAAGAUCUAUGCAGCAGUGGUCGCAGGGUCGAGGACAACUCAUCCGUUGUAGUGUCACAGACAUUGAUAGCUAGUUGAAGAACGAACGACAAUGUUUGUCAGAUACUGCGAUCUUGCAAGGAUCAAAUAGCAUCCUUCUGUUUGUUCCACUGAUUCGAGCUAGUCCACUUCAUCGAAAAAAUUCACGACGGCCGUUUGAAACGGGGUCCAUUGAGCAAUAUCGAUACCUCAUCUACUAUGAGCGUCAAUAUACCAACUUGGCAGAGUAUUUAAAGGAAACCUAGGUUACUUGGUAUGAUUCAGCUUCUCAAACUUUCGUUAACAGUAAAUAAAACGUAUACUACGAUUUU